CUACUUCCACAGCUCCUCAAAGCACGACAAACCGAAGUCUAAAAUAAAUGCUUAGUAACAGCUUCAUUGUCUCCUAACAAAACAAAUUCUAAAAGCCUAAAGAAAAUGCUCUCAGAACAGACAACGUAAAUGCAUGUGAGGCAUGCUGUUGUUACAUGGAGAGGUCCAGCAGCAGAACUAAAGUGUUUGUUCUCUGAUGUGCAGUAACAAAAAAGUACCAGUUGCUGUCAUGAACAUCUACUUACAUUUUUCUUACGAUAUUCAGCCUGGUACAUCCAAAAGUUUUCCAUCUCAGUUUUGGUGUUGUUUGCUUCUGUCUGACACACAGCUCCCUCCACCUGAGAAGCCUUCCCUGCUCUUGUGCGUUGGAAUUCAGUAACAGAACUGGGAACUGGAGAGGAAGGAGUAUCAUGUUGCAUCUAACCUAUCCUGGUCAACCCACCUGGCUGCUGAAUAACUUGUGAAGACAAACAUAACUGACCCUGAAACAUCUUCAGAUGCAACCACCUGCUUUUGCUUCAUAAAAGCAAUGUUGUUUUACCUGUUUAUGGCAGCAGCAUAUCUGAAAAUAGUAUAACUUUGGGUGACAUACAAAGCUGGGACAGAAAGGAUGAAAUCAACAAAUACUUCAGCAAAGCAAGAUGGACUCAAACAAAAGACCAUUACUUACACGACAGUAACGUCCACGUACGGGCUUCUUGGCAGAGGAAUGGCAAAGGAGAGGGGGAAAGAAAAUGCACCUGAAUCCCACAGCCAAGAUCUUUAAUAAGCAAUCCACCACAGCUGUCCUAUUUCAGGACCUGAUCACAAGUCUAUCACAUGGAAGGCAUCAUUGCAGAAUAUCUACUGUGACAAACUGAGACCAUCAACAAAUGUUCAUAGCUUUUAGAUGACAUCAAGUACCUGUAAAGAAUAGAGCUGAAAACUAAAUUUCCUUACGAUAUAACUAAUCGUCAUUACUGUCCUACUUUGUAUAAAUUUGCAGUAACUGUAGUGAUAAAUAAAGGCUUUGAAAAAAAAAAAAAAA